CCUACGGGAGGCAGCAGUGAGGAAUAUUGGUCAAUGGACGAGAGUCUGAACCAGCCAAGUAGCGUGAAGGAUGACUGCCCUAUGGGUUGUAAACUUCUUUUAUAAAGGAAUAAAACGAGGCACGUGUGCCUUGUUGCAUGUACUUUAUGAAUAAGGAUCGGCUAACGCCGUGCCAGCAGCCGCGGUAAUACGGAGGAUCCGAGCGUUAUCCGGAUUUAUUGGGUUUAAAGGGAGUGUAGCGGGGUUUUUAAGUCCGUUGUGAAAGUUUGCGGGUCAACCGUAAAAUUGCAGUUGAUACUGGCAGUCUUGAGUACAGUUGAGGUAGGCGGAAUUCGUGGUGUAGCGGUGAAAUGCUUAGAUAUCACGAAGAACCCCGAUUGCGAAGGCAGCUUACUAAACUAUAACUGACAUUGAUGCUCGAAAGUGUGGGUAUCGAACAGGAAUAGAUACCCCAGUAGUC
rnacentral:rRNA from 1 species